CAGAUUCCCAUUGUAUUCUCCAAGUUUUCGUUUUCACUUGUCCGCUGUAAAUUCAUAUACGAAACCAACCACUCUUGCACGUACCCCAAGACCCUCACAAUGUUUUACACCCGUCCCUCACUUGCUCACCCCAUGGUGUAACACCCGAGAAUCUUGCUACAGUAAUCUUCCACUAAUAUGCCAUGUCAGCAAGUUUAGCUAAGCCAAAUUGCCACCUGAUAAAAAAAUCAAAGCCUUUUUCAAUUUGAAAAUAAAGUAAAAUAACCUUUCUUCAACCAGUAAAACUAAAAUGUUUGUAAUAUUGAACAAAUUUCUAAAGAUAUUAUAAAAACAAAACCAACAUUAACUGAGACUCCAAAAAUGCCCCUAGCUAUUUUUGAAUGACCCAACAACACCCUUCCAUCACUUUUAAAUUCAAACCAAAAAUCAAAUGAAUUCAAAUGAGGUUCAAACCUUUUGUGGCAGUGCCAUUUAAUGCAAUUUGAAAUAUGUGGCAAGUUAAUUUUUUUUACAAAAACCAAUUGGUGGCUCUACUUAAUGCAAAACAGUGUAGAAAAACUAAACAGAAAAAGAAAAGAUAAAGAGGUAGAACCUACUGUGCACUUGGGCUUAAUUCUACAGUAUAAGGCCCAGCCUACCAUCACCCUUGUCUUCUCCCCCGCUACAGUGGGGGUGCAGGAGGCAGCCGUGGCGGGCAUCCAUGGUGCCCCCGCCCACGUGCGGCCAUCCCCCCGGCUCCCCUGCUGGAUAAGGGUGAUUCCCCCUGCCCCUCUCAUCCUCCCCCGAAGCUCUAGCACCCCAGAUCCCCUCUCCCUCGCUCGAUUUCUUCUCCCCGAGCUCGUCCGCCCGCUACACCCACCGUGUCGUCGCCGUUGCCGUGACCUCGUCCACUCUCUCGCCUCGUCUUCAUGUCGGGAAGCACCACCGUCACCUGCUUCGCCUCCCUCGUCGCUGGAUCGGAGACGGGAAGCCUCUACGCGGACGCCCGCGUUCGUUCCCCUCCGUCGGUGUCCGCCUCGGCCACCACUCCGACCUGCUGCUCCGUCGCAUCCCCGGCCCCCCUCGACCUCGUUGUUGACUCCCCGAUGACGGAUCCCAGGAGCCAGAUGCCACCGCCGACGGCUACUACUGCCCCGAGGGUGCCUACUACUACGUGGAGACGCCGACAACCAAGAGUAGUUAGGAGGCUCCCAGGCAGGAGGCCUUUCCUUUUCGAUCGUUGUUACUUUUGUGCUAGCCUUCUUAAGGCAAACUUGUUUAACUUAUGUCUGUACUCAGAUAUUGUUACUUCCGCUGCUCGUUUGUAUUUGAGGUUAUGUAUUCGAGCCCUCGAGGCCCCCUAGCUUGUUUUAUAAAGCUUGUAUUAUUUUAAUUUA